CACACAAGAAAUGCUAUUAAGGAGGACCUUUGAUCAGAGCUCACACCUUAUGAGGCUUAAGAUAAGUGCUUGUAGCUUAUUAGAUGUGAGAUAAGUCAUCCUACAACACGAAUCACAGCAGCAAGUCAUCGUUUGUUCUCCUCUUCGCAGAACUACUUGUUGCUUUGGAAGAAGCCAGCUGCUUUGUAUUAUUCAGGUGGAAGAUGGAACAAAGCCAUUUUGGUCUGGAAUACAGUGGGGGCUCCAGGAGCAGGAGGGUGUGAGGGAAUCAUACACCCACGCCAUGCAAACUCACCUCUCUGUCAUCAUGUGCUCACUGGCCACAGCUGGAGCGAGCGUGUCACGUGCAGGAGAAAUCAAGGGGAAUACAUCAUCUGGUGCACACACUGAGGAGAAACUGAAACGAACCUCUCCUCCUGCCUCUCCUACAUCAUCUUGGACUUACAAAAGAG
ensembl:lncRNA